rnacentral:rRNA from 1 species
CGCCAGCAGCCGCGGUAAAACGUAGGAGCCAAGCGUUAUCCGAAUUCACUGGGCGUAAAGCGCGUGCAGGCGGCCGGAUAAGUUGGCUGUGAAAUCUCCUGGCUCAACUGGGAGAGGCCGGUCAAUACUGUCUGGCUCGAGGGCGACAGAGGGAGGUGGAAUUCCGGGUGUAGUGGUGAAAUGCGUAGAUAUCCGGAGGAACACCAGAGGCGAAAGCGACCUCCUGGGUCGUACCUGACGCUCAGAUGCGAAAGCUAGGGGAGCAAACGGGAUUAGAAACCCCGGUAGUCCUAGCCGUAAACGAUGUAGACUGGGUGUCGGCGGGGUAAAAGCCGUCGGUGCCGAAGCCAACGCGAUAAGUCUACCGCCUGGGGACUACGGCCGCAAGGUUAAAACUCAAAGGAAUUGACGGGGGCCCGCACA